rnacentral:rRNA from 1 species
GACAGAGGGUGCAAACGUUGUUCGGAUUUACUGGGCGUAAAGCGCGUGUAGGCGGCUUUGCAAGUCGGAUGUGAAAUCCCACGGCUCAACCGUGGAAGUGCAUCCGAAACUGCAUCGCUCGAGUCUCGGAGAGGAAGGUGGAAUGCUUGGUGUAGAGGUGAAAUUCGUAGAUAUGUGGAGGAACACCGAUGGCGAAGGCAGCCCCCUGGGAUAACACUGACGCUCAUGCACGAAAGCGUGGGGAGCAAACAGG